GAGACGCUGCGCGGCGGCAGCGGCGGGCGCGAGCGGCAGCUGUCAGGCCACCGAGGUCCAAGCCGCACUUGCUGCCCCAUUGAGGACGAGGAGGCAGCAGGAGCAGUGACGGUGACUCUAAGGAGCCGGAUUCCCGGCACGCAGAGCUGACCUGCCUGGCACCCGCGGCCCUCUCCUGUUUCCUUCCCAUUGUGUUGGCACCCUAAAAAGAAAGAAUAAAACAACAACAGGAAAAAAAGGAAAAUAUUUAAAUUGUGACAAAAACCCACUGGAUAAGCCAGCUGCAGAAUAUAUCCUGAGGUACCUGCUUUAUGGAAUUAUUCACACUAUUCACCAACAGGAAGAAUAAAGUCAAUCAAUUCAAGGAGUCUCAGAACAGGAGCACAUAGACACCAAACUUUGUGGGACAACAAAUAUAAUGAAGAGUAUGUUUGCGUCUUUCAAACAAAGCCACGUGAAGUCAAGGCCCUUAACACCCACCCCUCCCACAUACUGAGGGGAGAAUUCAGAUGCCCACUGGAGUCAGCCGAUCAGACUGCCUUUUGCACACUCCUUGCCUCCACUCCAGUUUACCGUGGAAGACCUGUCUGCUAUGGCUGAAUCUGAGAGAGAUCCUUGAGUAACGAAUUAAGGAAUGAACAAAUGUUGCUCUGGACAAAGCUGCAGCUUCCACGUCCUGCAUAACUGCACUCAGUACUGACCCUGAAGAUAGGAAAAGCAAUACAACUGGUGCUAGAAAUGUUAUGAGAAUGACUUGGAUGAGCUGAAAAAUGAAUGAUCUCCUUGAACAAGCUCCUUGGAAACCACAGGGUUGUCAUGGUAGCUGUUAUCAAGGAGAAGGGAGUGAGAAGAUGCUGACAACACCCUGUUUCUCUUCCCUAACGAGGUGUAAGGCCAGAUGCCCCCUUCGUCUACACAGAUUCUACGCUCCCUUAUGCUGCUUGCCUGGAAUUUCGCUUUGCUGCAGAGACAUCUGGAAAUGUGGAUUGAGGGUGGAAAUAAAAUGAAGAUGUCCUG
rnacentral:lncRNA from 10 species